GACAGCCAGGAUGUUGGCUUAGAAGCAGCCAUCAUUUAAAGAAAGCGUAAUAGCUCACUGGUCGAGUCGGCCUGCGCGGAAGAUGUAACGGGGCUAAACCAUGCACCGAAGCUGCGGCAGCGACGCUUAUGCGUUGUUGGGUAGGGGAGCGUUCUGUAAGCCUGCGAAGGUGUGCUGUGAGGCAUGCUGGAGGUAUCAGAAGUGCGAAUGCUGACAUAAGUAACGAUAAAGCGGGUGAAAAGCCCGCUCGCCGGAAGACCAAGGGUUCCUGUCCAACGUUAAUCGGGGCAGG
rnacentral:rRNA from 1 species